AGCGAACGCUGGCGGCAGGCCUAACACAUGCAAGUCGAGCGGUCCCUUCGGGGGCAGCGGCGGACGGGUGAGUAACACGUGGGAACGUGCCCUUUGGUUCGGGAUGACUCUGGGAAACGAGAGCUAACACCGGCUACGCGCGAAACGGGAAAGGUUACGCCGAAGGAGCGGCCCGCGUUCGAUUAGGUAGUUGGGGGGGUAAAGGCCCACCAAGCCGACGAUCAGUAGCGGGUCUGAGAGGAUGAUCAGCCACACUGGGACUGAGACACGGCCCAGACUCCUACGGGAGGCAGCAGUGGGGAAUAUUGGACAAUGGGCGCAAGCCUGAUCCAGCCAUGCCGCGUGAGUGAUGAAGGCCUUCGGGUUGUAAAGCUCUUUCGCACACGACGAUGAUGACGGUAGUGUGAGAAGAAGCCCCGGCUAACUUCGUGCCAGCCGCCGCUGUAACAC
rnacentral:rRNA from 1 species